rnacentral:rRNA from 1 species
GAUGAACGCUAGCGGCAUGCCUUACACAUGCAAGUCGAACGGCAGCACGGGCUUCGGCCUGGUGGCGAGUGGCGAACGGGUGAGUAAUACAUCGGAACGUGCCCUGUCGUGGGGGAUAACUAGUCGAAAGAUUAGCUAAUACCGCAUACGACCUGAGGGUGAAAGCGGGGGACCGUAAGGCCUCGCGCGACAGGAGCGGCCGAUGUCUGAUUAGCUAGUUGGUGGGGUAAGAGCCCACCAAGGCGACGAUCAGUAGCUGGUCUGAGAGGACGAUCAGCCACACUGGGACUGAGACACGGCCCAGACUCCUACGGGAGGCAGCAGUGGGAAUUUUGGACAAUGGGGGCAACCCUGAUCCAGCAAUGCCGCGUGUGUGAAGAAGGCCUUCGGGUUGUAAAGCACUUUUGUCCGGAAAGAAAUCGCGCUGGUUAAUACCUGGCGUGGAUGACGGUACCGGAAGAAUAAGCACCGGCUAACUACGUGCCAGCCGCCGCCGUAAAAC